AACGCACAUUGCGCCCGCCAGUAUUCUGGCGGGCAUGCCUGUUCGAGCGUCAUUUCAACCCCUCAGGCCCUAGCGCCUGGCGUCGGGGCUCUUCCCCUCACCGGGAAGGCCCCCAGAAACAGUGGCGGACCCGCCGCGGCUCCGAGCGCAGUAGUAACAUUCUCGCUUAGGAGGUCCGCGGGGGGGCUCCCGGCCGUUAAACCGGACUCCGGUCCAUUUUUUAAGGUUGACCUCGGAUCAGGUAGGAAUACCCGCUGAACUUAA
rnacentral:misc_RNA from 1 species